GUUGGUGGAGUGAUUUGUCUGGUUAAUUCCGUUAACGAACGAGACCUUAACCUGCUAAAUAGGGGCGGGAAAUUUUUUUUCUCGGCUCACUUCUUAGAGGGACUUUGCGUGUUUCUAACGCAAGGAGGUUUGAGGCAAUAACAGG
rnacentral:rRNA from 1 species